rnacentral:rRNA from 1 species
GAUGAACGCUAGCGGCGCGCCUAAUGCAUGCAAGUCGAGCGAUGAGGCCCUCUUCGGAGGGUACAUCAGCGGCAGACGGGUGAGUAACACGUGGGUGACCUGCCCUAAAGAUGGGGACAACGGAUGGAAACAUGCGCUAAUACCCAAUGGACCUGUACUGUCGAAGGUAUAGGUAAAGCUUCGGCGCUUUAGGAGGGGCCUGCGGCCCAUCAGCUAGUUGGUAGGGUAACGGCCUACCAAGGCAAAGACGGGUAGGGGGUGUGAGAGCAUGACCCCCCACAAUGGGACUGAGACACGGCCCAUACUCCUACGGGAGGCAGCAGCAGGGAAUAUUGCACAAUGGACGGAAGUCUGAUGCAGCGACGCCGCGUGGAUAAUGAAGGCCCUCGGGUCGUAAAAUCCUUUUCAGGGGGAAGAGGAAGGACGGUACCCCUGGAAUAAGCGUCGGCUAACUACGUGCCAGCAGCCGCGGUAAGACGUAGGACGCAAGCGUUAUCCGGAUUUACUGGGCGUAAAGCGUCUGUAGGCGGUUGGGUAAGUUGGGCGUGAAAGCUCCGUGCUCAACGCGGAGAGGUCGUUCAAUACUGCCGAACUAGAGGACAUCAGAGGAGCAUGGAAUUUCCGGUGUAGCGGUAAAAUGCGCAGAUAUCGGAAGGAACACCAGUGGCGAAGGCGGUGCUCUGGGGUGUGCCUGACGCUGAGAGACGAAAGCUAGGGGAGCGAACAGGAUUAGAGACCCUGGUAGUCCUAGCCCUAAACGAUGGAUGCUAGAUGUGGGGCCGAGAAGGCUCCGUGUCGCAGUUAACGCGGUAAGCAUCCCGCCUGGGGAUUACUGCCGCAAGGCUAAAACUCAAACGAAUUGACGGGGCCCCGCACAAGCAGCGGAGCGUGUGGUUUACUUCGAUGCCUACACGAAGAACCUUACCU